rnacentral:rRNA from 1 species
CAAUAGCGUAUAUUAAAGUUGUUGCAGUUAAAAAGCUCGUAGUUGGAUUUCUGUGAGAGUGCCGGUGUCGGCUGAUGCUUGUACGCAGGCGCUCUUACAUCCUUCUGUUAACUGUUCUUGGCAUUUUAUUGCUGGUUCAGGGCUCAGAUAUUUUACCUUGAGAAAAUUAGAGUGUUUCAGGCAGGCUUAUGCCGGAAUACAUUAGCAUGGAAUAAUGGAACAGGACCUGUGCGUCUCUCGGGGCGCCGGUCUCCGUUGUUGGUUUCGGGGACUAAUGUAAUGAUUAAUAGGGAUAGUUGGGGGCAUUAGUAUUUAAUAGUCAGGGGUGAAAUUCUCGGAUUUGUUAAAGACUAACUUAUGCGAAAGCAUUUGCCAAGGAUGUUUUCAUUAA